rnacentral:rRNA from 1 species
UUAACUUGGAGUCCGAACUCUCACUUUCUAACCCUGUGCACUUGUUUGGGAUAGUAACUCUCGCAAGAGAGCGAACUCCUAUUCACUUAUAAACACAAAGUCUAUGAAUGUAUUAAAUUUUAUAACAAAAUAAAACUUUCAACAACGGAUCUCUUGGCUCUCGCAUCGAUGAAGAACGCAGCGAAAUGCGAUAAGUAAUGUGAAUUGCAGAAUUCAGUGAAUCAUCGAAUCUUUGAACGCACCUUGCGCUCCAUGGUAUUCCGUGGAGCAUGCCUGUUUGAGUGUCAUGAAUACUUCAACCCUCCUCUUUCUUAAUGAUUGAAGAGGUGUUUGGUUUCUGAGCGCUGCUGGCCUUUACGGUCUAGCUCGUUCGUAAUGCAUUAGCAUCCGCAAUCGAACUUCGGAUUGACUUGGCGUAAUAGACUAUUCGCUGAGGAAUUCUAGUCUUCGGAUUAGAGCCGGGUUGGGUUAAAGGAAGCUUCUAAUCAGAAUGUCUACAUUUUAAGAUUAGAUCUCAAAUCAGGUAGGACUACCCGCUGAACUUAAGCAUAUCAAUAAGCGGAGGAA